UACGUAGGGGGCAAGCGUUGUCCGGAAUUAUUGGGCGUAAAGAGCGCGUAGGCGGUCCGAUAAGUCGGCUGUGAAAGUCGGGGGCUCAACCCUCGGAUGCCGGUGGAUACUGUCGGGCUUGAGUACGGAAGAGGCGAGUGGAAUUCCUGGUGUAGCGGUGAAAUGCGUAGAUAUCUGGAGGAACACCGGUGGCGAAGGCGGCAUCCUGGACCAACACUGACACUGAGGAGCGAAAGCCAGGGAGCAACGGG
rnacentral:rRNA from 1 species